AACAGGAAAUCAGCUGCAAGAUCUCGCGCUCGCAAGCAAGUGAGUGCUCAUUACAAUCUUGAACAAACCUUAAAACAACCGACGGUAUAGUUAUUUACUUAAUUCAUUUCGCUGUUUGAUAGGCUUAUAUGUUGGAGUUGGAAGCAGAAGUUGCACAACUUAAAGAGAUGAAUGAAGAGUUGCACAGGAAACAAGUUGAAAUCAUUGAAAAUCAGAAAAAACAGCUUCUGGAGCCAAUGCACCAGCCAUGGGGAUGCAAAAGGCAAUGCCUGCGAAGGACAUCCACAGGUCCUUGGUAGAGUGCUUAUGAAGGCGCACCCAGGGAAAUUCAACAAAGAACAUAAGUUAUAGAACAACACAGAAAGUAGAAGCUAGCUUUGUAUGUAACUUAGGCUUAUGUGCCAAAGAUAGAUCAACAACACACUUUUGUUUUGUUUUCUUGUAGCAUGUUUUGGUUUUUUUAUCUUCCUGAUGUAAUGGAUCUUGAUGUUACUUUAUUGGACGUGUCAUUGUCUUCAAUAUCUCUGUGACUUAACCAGAGUGAAUAGAUUGAUGGAAAAACGUAUAAGAGUGAAUAGAUUGAUGGAAACAUCAAGUGUAGAAUCAAUCAUGUUGUGAUCUCCAACUGUGAAUACAAAAUAUUAUACAAAAUUAACUUAGAUAGGCAGAGACAUCUUCUAACUGUGUGUCUUGAUCAAGAUGCCUUCAGAUUCAAUUGGUACUCAUGCACAAGCCCUUGUGAAACACUUCUUGCUCUACCAUGUCCAAACAGCUUACCAACAAUAGCUAGAGAAAAAUUAGUCACAGUUGCGAGCCCCAUACCUGUAAUCACGCUUCCAUCUAUAACAACUUCUGCCCCUUGGAUCAUUUGGUCAUCCACAGGCCUGUGUGUGUCUGAAAGGUACACAGCUGUUCUCUUCUCCUGCAACAUGAUUCAAAUUCAUGUAUAGUGUUUGCUAGAAAAGAACAAAAAAAAAAUUCUUCUAUUUACCUUGAGCAAACUGUGUUUAUGAAGGACAGUAGAUGAAGAGUUAGUAGCUCCAUAUAUUUUCCCAGCUUCUUGUUCUUCUUUGAGUAGCUUCUUGAGAAUUUUUUACUUCUUUAAACAUUCUGAGCCAGCAUGGCCUCCCUAGAAAAACUCCAUCAUAGUUACUCACCAUGUAAUAAACAACAAUAUGGAUGUCUUACCGGA